UUGGCCUUUUAAAGAAAUAUAGUUAGUGUGAAAACAGUUUGGUGGCAGACAUUCUGUAUAGAGAUUUAUACCCACAGUAGAAGAGGUGGCUUGCCUUUCAGCAUGCAACACUGGAAUUAUUGUGUACCAUGUAAAAGAGCAAGCCCAUGAGGCAGUGAGAAUGAAUGCUUUUUUUUUUGGUCCUUUGGUUUGCUGCAUUUUUUUUCUGUGCCCUCACAAUUAAAGAAAGAGCCUGGGCAAAACUCUAUCAGAUCACUAUGUGAUCAUUCUGUUCUUUUCUGAAGGUAAGUUCUUAUUUUAGGGAUUCUCUGAAAAGAGCUUUACUGUACACAUAGAUAGCAUUGAGAGACGAAACUAUGGCGCCAGUGCUGUAUGGGUCUCCUGUGAUAUGCAGUUAAUUCAUCUAUCAGGAACUGGGCUUUGACUCCUUUUCGAGGAGUGACCUCAAGCAGGGCCAGGGCUGGGACACAUUGUUACAGGGACACACGCACAUACACUCAAUGAGCUAUCAAGGAUUAUUCCUGGAGUGAUUAGGAACAAGCUCUAACAUGCCUUCAUAAUAAUGCUGACUAUUUAAAGCUUCUGAGGGCUGAAGGAUCAGAUGGCAAAGGCCAUGGUGUAUGAAAACAGGGUACUUUCUGAUGCUGUGAAUGUGCUAAAAAGGGAGGUGGGGAAGGUGGUGUACAUGUGUUAGUGAGGGAACUGACAACAAGGAGGGGAACAUUAUAGUAAUACUUAGCAUUUAUAUAGUGCUUUACAUGUUCAAAGCACUGCAUGCACAUUAACUGUGGAUUUGUCAGCACUGGUGUGGGAGGAACUGGAGUUCAUUGCACGGUCCCCAAGAGAUAUUUUCCUAUAAGCUGGUCUGUCCGGUGUGCUAAGCUAAAGAAGUAACAAAUAGAAAUGGGAAGGUCCACCUGCCCAGUUAUUCCUCUGGUGUACAAGACACUGGAAAUAGAGGGUUUGAUGCACUAAAAUACUGCUGCAGUGGUAUAUAUGUCAUGCCAACAUGCUUUCGUAGUACAAGAAUGGGGCAUCCCUUACUGCAAACCUGAUGCCCACAGGGCCCAAAUGCUACAGCUGUGGUAAGUAGAGGAGUAGGUAGGUCCAACCUACUGUGCUAUAUCUUCUCUCAUGCCCUAACCAAGCACAUGAGUGCAAAUUAGAGUUGCCCUUAGACCAACAGUAUCCAAACUUGCAUAAAAAACGGGGUAGCAAAGAUGCUCGACAGUGUUGACCAAUUAUGAUGAAUACGCUUCUUGUUUAUGUAUAUGCAACUCUCACGCAUGGCAGUUAUUCGUCCAUUCAUGACAGCUGUAGCUCCAAAGCAAGAUGUUACAGGAAGCUGAUGUAAAAUCAGUAUGUUGAUACUGGCUGGCUGAAAUACGUUUUACAGGUCAGAGAAAUCAAAUGUGAAUGUUUUUCUCCAAAACAUUUCUGCUUUCAGUUCUAGCAGUAAAACUAAUGACCAGGAUGAGAACGAGAAAUGAAAGGAGUGCAAGAUACGAAAGUGGAAAUUUGAUUCCUUGUUGCUCUUGCCUGCAUCAUUUUGGGGUUACAUAAAAAUUCCAGUGUUUAAAUGGGGUCAUGCUGAGGAAGAGGUUGGGAAGCCCCACCUUAGACACUCCUUACGUUUACAUUACUCUUACUAAUUUCACUAUGGUGCAGGAUGAAUAAAAGAGAGUACCAUUGUUAGCAGCUGUGAACCCCAGUGGCCAUAAUCACGGCGAGGCUGAUAUGGUCCACAGAUAGAGGGUCACAGACAAGGAGAACACCUUUCUCAGUGUCUAUAUCAGGCUUUAAGUAACAUGACAAGAAUUACGAGUGAAUAGGAAUGACAGAAGAAUCAUUAUCAGGUGCUUGGGAACUGCUGGAAUGGGUGUAAGUACAUUGGUCAGUAUAUAUGAGGACUUCUUGCACUGUUUCUGUGGGGAGCCAGUCUAAAAGAUUCUGUCCCAUAAAAAAGAAGGUUGGCUGCAGUAAAACUGAGUGAUAUUACUGUCAGAAACAAUCCAGGAAUCGGCCCUGACUGCCCAUAUAAAUCCCAUCUUAAAUACACAGGUAUGUUCCCAUGAUGCCUUCAAUACUGUCUGCAUUUGCAGCAGGUUCUUGUCUGUGCCUACAGCCCUGAAUGGACAUGAUGACUUUGAAGGAUUCCCUUGUUGGUUGUCUGUGCAUCAGUCUUGUUUACCACUGGGUGAGUACAUUGCUGAAGUCAGCGUUACCAGCAUUGAGUCAAUGAUGCUCAAGCAUCAACUUCACUGGACCUGACACUGUAUGUGGAUGCCUGACUUUAAAUUCCUAAAGCAAGUGCUCUACUCCCAGCUUAAUUGCAGCCUGAGAUCUCAUGGCAGCCAGAGGAAAUGCUAAAAGAACAUAUUGAAGGUAUACCUCAAGAAAAUGGAUCCUGAUAUCAAAAGCUGGGAGGAACUGGCUGCUAACCAGCUCCAGUAGUGCUGCAACCUCAACCAAGUGGCAGCCUGCUUUGAGGUAAAGCAUCUUGCCCUCAAAGCAGAGAAGAGAGAGCAGAGAAAGGAAAAGGAGAGAAAUCACGACCUACUCUCCUCUUCAGAAAGGCCUGCAACUUCUGUGGACAGCUCUGUGGCUCAAAGAUUGGACUCUUAAGUCACCUCAAGCCCCAUUAAUGAGCCAUGGUAGAAAUCAUCCUCAAUUGCUGCUGCUGACAUUAGUUGUGGUUUGGGUUUUUUUAGAGCUGGGCAAAUAAUUGCCUUUUCAGUUUACUCAGUGAACCUAAAAAUGAGGAGAAAAGAGUCAUUUUGGAUUGAUCCCAGUUAUUUCCAGUUUCUCUGCUGAAACAGAAACCUGAAAAAAAAACAGAUUGGCAAAAGUAUUUUGGUAGGUUUUAAGGAGGAAAAUUAUGCUUUUUAGAAAAAUUAAAAUUAAGCAAGUUUUGAAGCAAAACACCGGUUAAAAAUUAAAAACAAGCAAGACAUAAAAGUCUCUAUUCAAUUUUUUUACUUUUUUGGAUAUUUCCCCACCUUUUUUUGACUGAAAUAAUUCACACAAACCUAGCUAAAUUCACAAAUUGCUUCAGUUGAUCCAAACAAACUUUUUGCAGUGAAAAAAUGUGUUUGCCCCCAGUUUUGGCCAGUUUACAUUCUUUCUGCCUCUUUCAUGUACUGCUUUUCAUUUACUGCAGAAGGCAUGAUUGUGGUCAGGAGAAGUCCUCAUUCUUGUAACUCUUUUGGAAAAGAUUUACUGAAGAUCUGGUAGGAGAUUGCUGAAAUCAGAGUGGCUGCCUUCAGAGUCUGCCUCGCUCAGGAGAGGUGGCCUAUCUCUUACUCGGGUCCUGAGACAGGCAGAGGGAGAGAGUUGUCAAUUCUCUUCUAGAACCUGCUCCUAUUUCUGACACUGUCCAGGAGGUGGAGGUGGCAUGGCCAUGCCUGGCUUGCUCUUCUCUGUUGCAAUGCCUUCUUGACAGGUGAUGCAAAUCAAAUCAAAUAAAGACAUCUCUGUUGGUGUGACAAGCUGUGCAAGGACAGGGAUUUUUGGUCUUUGCCAGUGGUAGUUACAAUACACCAUGGAUGUUCUGCUGAUGUGGCUUCCCCAUGUUUCAAGGUCAUUCUUCCCCAUUACCUGCCAAGGAUUAUUUAUGUCUCCUUGGCUCUUCUCUGAUUCAGCUUCAGACAUGAUUCCAUGUCCUACUGCUGUUGCUGCUGUAUCUUUUACUUGUCCCAGGGUUGUGUGCUUUUGUCUUUUUUUUUUUGCUGUGGAAAGGAAAGUCCUUUUAUGGUUCUUUAGAACUUAAGGGAAUCUCUCUCUAUCACACUCUUUGCUAUCUUGUGGAGUGGAAGUAAAAUCUCUCCUCAUUUCAGUCCCUCUAAUGUCACAACCAUUCCUUUCUGGGCUUUGUGCUGCUCUUUUUUUUUUUCUAUUUCCAGCCUGUGAGCACAGCUUCUAUACGUGGAGGGUCUGCCUGCAUUCUUGUAUGUUUUGCUGUGGUAAGGCAAUUUGCUACUCUAAGCAGAAACUGGAUAUCUGAGGGGCACCUUUUUCCCCCUUACCCUGUAUGCUCUAGUGUCAAUACCCAUCCUGUGCAAUCUGGAAACCUCACAAGAAAUGCCUGUGUAUCACAGGCAAACUUGGCCCAGGAUGCAAAUGUCAACCCAGAGAAUCUAAAGUGACUCACUGUACACACAUGUAUCUUGAGAGCCUUUUCCAUGUGCACAAUUAACUCGUUGACAAUCCAUGUUAUGUAACCACUGGUCAUGAAUCACUGGGAUUACUGUUUGGAACAGGCCAAGGAAGGCUCAGGCUGUGAAACCAAUUCAUGUAAUUAUCUAUAAUGACACUAAUAUAGAACAUAUUAAUAAUGGGAACUGAUGUGUUCUUUCCAUUUGCAUUGCCCUGAUUGGUCCAGCAGGCAUCCUAAUGUUUUGCUUAUUCUGUUGGCAGACUUGUUUAUUAUCUGCUGCUUCUGUGAGGGAAGAGAAUUGGAAUCUGCCGUGAAAAGGAGAUGCUAAUGGAUCUGGCAAGGUUCAUUGCAAAAUGGAACAAUGGAAAAGGACAAACAUGAAAAGCCCUGGGAGCCAUCCAUGGAGACGAGAGAUUAUAACUUGCACCUGAUGCCCGUGCUUAGAACAGAAUCCAGGAAAAAACCAGAAAACUUCAGAAUAUUGCCAUGUAUAUCAACUGACUGCUGACAAAGACCUGGAAAAAGACAUCCUGUGAACCUCUGCUGAGACAACCUACAAAAUUUGGUGCUGAAAUGAAGAAUGCUUGAAGUAUACUGUCCGAGGCACAUGCAGUCCUUAGCAUAUUUCCAUUGUGUCAAACUGCUCCAACUCAUCCUACCUUCAGUCAGCUAACUGUGAAUGCAGUUAAAAUGCGUAUGGAUAAAUGCUGCCAUAUAAAUGUGGAAUGCAAUGAAAACAAGGGCACGUCCUCUUUCCUUCUAUUGACUUAUUAUGCACUUAUACAUUUUAAGUCCAGAAAGGACAAUUAGAUCAUUUAGUCUGAAUUCCUAUAUAAUACAUGCACGCAGUACAGUUUCAUCAAGUUACUAACCAUAUUGAGCUUAAUACCUUGUGGUUGUCUAAACUAAGUAUCUUCCAAGUCAGCAUAACUUGAACUUUUGCCUUCAAGAGAUUGAGAAUCCA